CCUCCUUAUACGAUUUAGAACUUAUUUGUUCGUAGUGUCCACACAGAUGAUUGUUAGUUAGUUUUACCCUUUGGGUUAACUAAUUAAUAUGCUCUUUAAAAAUUUGGAAAAGCUGAUAAUAAAAUUCGUAUGAAUAACAUUGUUAUUUGUACAGAGUUUUCAAAAGUAAAAAAGAAUGAUAGCAGUAUCAUUCAGUGCCAAUUUAAUCCUCGGAUUAAUUGGUAUCUACUUUAGUAUUCAAUAUUAACUUCUGGCGAAGUUAAACUGUCACGAAACAAAGACCCGUUUGGGUUGUAUGGUUAAGUGACUAAGCGUACACGGUGGAUGC
rnacentral:misc_RNA from 1 species